rnacentral:misc_RNA from 1 species
UUUUUUUUUUUUUUUUUCUCCAUAUUUAGUAAGAUAUACAUGUAUUCCAUGAAAAGAUAGUGGGGAAAAAUAAUGCAUUUAAAUAUUGAUCACCCUAUCCGUUUCUUUUCUUUCCUUUGCCUUUUUUUUUGUCCCCCUCUUGUCUAGAAUGUUUAUUGCUUGUGUUCUUUAGAUGUUAGCCUUGAUGGUUUCAACUUUGCAUUGUGCAUGCUUUACCUUUUUCACUUUGAUGGUAAGGAAAACAAGGAAAUAAGUUGAUGGGUGAUACAAAAAUCAAAAAGUUGCUUCAACUGGGUAUAACAUCUUCAAUUGUAUUUGCGGGAAUGAGAUUGAUGGAACUUUGGGAGUGGUUGAUAUUUGGAAUUGCAUUAUUUGGAGACGGCUUAUCGCCAUUAAUCUCGCUAAUGAGGACUUGCGGCGCAUUUUCCCGGUGACGAAUUGUACAUAGAAUUUGAUGUUUACAAAUUACUAGCGAGCUGAGACGCCAACUGAUGUUAAAGAUGAUUAGAAAAUAAUUUAUCCUUUGUUUGAUCCCUGCUAAUGGGAGGUAGCAGGUAGGAUAUUUAUCGGUGACGAGGUGUUCGUCUCACGUGGGAUAGUAUAGUGAAGCGGGUGAUUAGUAUUGGUUUUCUUAUUAUUCAUAUAUCAAGUAUGAUUCUGUAAUUGGA